rnacentral:rRNA from 1 species
CAGCCUGAUGCAGCCAUGCCGCGUGUGUGAAGAAGGCCUUCGGGUUGUAAAGCACUUUCAGCGAGGAGGAAGGCGUUGUGGUUAAUAACNNNGNNGAUUGACGUUACUCGCAGAAGAAGCACCGGCUAACUCCGUGCCAGCAGCCGCGGUAAUACGGAGGGUGCAAGCGUUAAUCGGAAUUACUGGGCGUAAAGCGCACGCAGGCGGUUUGUKAAGUCNGAUGUGAAAUCCCCGRGCUUAACYUGGGAACUGCAUUYGAAACUGGCAGGCUAGAGUCUUGUANAGGGGGGUAGAAUUCCAGGUGUAGCGGUGAAAUGCGUANAGAUCUGGAGGAAUACCGGUGGCGAAGGCGGCCCCCUGGACWAAGACUGACGCUCAGGUGCGAAAGCGUGGGGAGCAAACAGGAUU